GGGCCAUGGACGGAGCAGUGAUGGAAGGGCCGCUCUUUUUGCAGAGUCAGCGCUUUGGGACCAAGGUAGUCUGGCGCACGGAUGCCGAACCUUAUCCGGGCUAGUAAUGGGUGGAGGAAGACCUGGGCCGUGCUCUACCCGGCCAGUCCCCACGGCGUAGCGCGGCUCGAGUUCUUUGACCAUAAGGGGUCGAGCUCUGGGGGUGGCCGAGGGAGCUCGCGCCGCCUGGACUGCAAAGUGAUCCGUCUGGCUGAGUGUGUGAGUGUGGCCCCCGUCAUCGUGGAGACCCCCCCUGAGCCCGGCGCCACUGCCUUCCGCCUGGACACUGCUCAGCGCUCGCACCUGCUGGCGGCCGACGCGCCGUCCAGUGCAGCCUGGGUGCAGACCCUGUGCCGAAACGCCUUUCCGAAAGGCAGCUGGACUCUGGCGCCUACCGAUAACCCACCUAAGCUUUCUGCCCUGGAGAUGCUGGAGAACUCCUUGUACAGCCCUACCUGGGAAGGAUCCCAAUUCUGGGUAACGGUGCAGAGGACUG
rnacentral:sRNA from 1 species